ACGGUGACGUGUAGGCUGAAAGAAGCGGGGAGCAAAGUUCCGGUCUGACGAACAGAAAUCACUUUAGGCUAUGUCUAUGGAUGAGAUUGCAAGUUAUGUCGAAGUCCCAAAGCUAGUCGGAAUAGAUGUAGUAAAAGUGACAGAUAUAUGGAAUGAAAGCUAA
rnacentral:ncRNA from 1 species